GAACAUAAUUUUUCCUGUUGCUUUUUUUCCCCAAAUCUAAGCUUGGUAUGUUGCUGUGCAUAAUAUCUUUGUUGUAUUUUUCUCUAAAAUAAGAAACAAGGCUAACUUUCCUCAGAGGGGUCUGGUCACUCGGGUUUUCAACGUCAAAAGAAAUAUCCUGUGUGUUCUCAUCAGUUAAUCCAGCAAUUUUGUACUUCUGAUUGGUAGUUCUGUGAGUCACAGUAACUUUCAAUCCCUUCAAAACUUUCUCGACUUGCUUCCUGAACCUUCUGAAACUGUUUAGAUUGAAGUCAGGAAUUUGCUCCUUGAGAAAAUCUAUAAC
rnacentral:misc_RNA from 1 species